rnacentral:tRNA from 1 species
UGGAGAUACCGGGGAUCGAACCCGAGACCUUUCACAUGCAAAGCGGACGCUCUACCACUGAGCUACAUCCCC